rnacentral:siRNA from 1 species
GUACAUAGUGAUUGUGUUUGCCU